AAAGAUUAAGCCAUGCAUGUCUAAGUAUAAGCAAUUAUACGGCGAAACUGCGAAUGGCUCAUUAUAUAAGUUAUCGUUUAUUUGAUAGUACUUUACUACUUGGAUAACCGUGGUAAUUCUAGAGCUAAUACAUGCUAAAAAUCCCGACUUCGGAAGGGAUGUAUUUAUUAGAUUAAAAGCCAAUGCCCUCUGGGCUCUCUGGUGAAUCAUGAUAACUUCUCGAAUCGCAAGGCCUUGCGCCGGCGAUGGUUCAUUCAAAUUUCUUCCCUAUCAACUUUCGAUGUUUGGGUAGUGGCCAAACAUGGUUGCAACGGGUAACGGAGGGUUAGGGCUCGACCCCGGAGAAGGAGCCUGAGAAACGGCUACUACAUCCAAGGAAGGCAGCAGGCGCGCAAAUUACCCAAUCCCGAUUCGGGGAGGUAGUGACAAUAAAUACUGAUACAGGGCUCUUUUGGGUCUUGUAAUUGGAAUGAGUACAAUUUAAAUCCCUUAACGAGGAACAAUUAGAGGGCAAGUCUGGUGCCAGCAGCCGCGGUAAUUCCAGCUCUAAUAGCGUAUAUUAAAGUUGUUGUGGUUAAAAAGCUCGUAGUUGAACCUUGGGCCUGGCUGGCCGGUCCGCCUCACCGCGUGUACUGGUCCGGCCGGGCCUUUCCCUCUGUGGAACCCCAUGCCCUUCACUGGGUGUGGCGGGGAAACAGGACUUUUACUUUGAAAAAAUUAGAGUGCUCCAGGCAGGCCUAUGCUCGAAUACAUUAGCAUGGAAUAAUAAAAUAGGACGUGCGGUUCUAUUUUGUUGGUUUCUAGGACCGCCGUAAUGAUUAAUAGGGACAGUCGGGGGCAUCAGUAUUCAAUUGUCAGAGGUGAAAUUCUUGGAUUUAUUGAAGACUAACUACUGCGAAAGCAUUUGCCAAGGAUGUUUUCAUUAAUCAGGAACGAAAGUUAGGGGAUCGAAGACGAUCAGAUACCGUCGUAGUCUUAACCAUAAACUAUGCCGACUAGGGAUCGGACGAUGUUAUUUUUUGACUCGUUCGGCACCUUACGAGAAAUCAAAGUGCUUGGGCUCCAGGGGGAGUAUGGUCGCAAGGCUGAAAC
rnacentral:rRNA from 1 species